rnacentral:rRNA from 1 species
AGCAGCCGCGGUAAGACGGAGGGCGCGAGCGUUGUUCGGAAUUACUGGGCGUAAAGCGCGCGCAGGCGGAUAUUUAAGUCAGGGGUGAAAUCCCGGGGCUCAACCCCGGAACUGCCUUUGAUACUGGGUAUCUUGAGUUCGAGAGAGGUGAGUGGAAUUCCGAGUGUAGAGGUGAAAUUCGUAGAUAUUCGGAGGAACACCAGUGGCGAAGGCGGCUCACUGGCUCGAUACUGACGCUGAGGUGCGAAAGCGUGGGGAGCAA